UGCAGCUUGCUUCAGUUUCUUUCUUGCUGUUUUGUAGGCAGCCUCCUCAAAAGCCCUGUGAAUGACUUCUCAAAGAGUGACCGUGUGAAGAUCGAGAGACCCUGGGGGUUCCCAUGCAGGCCCGGGACCCCCUCCCUGUCCAGCCCAGCCUCCGUUCACAGCCUGAGACCCGCUGACAUCGCUGUAGUGGUUGGCAUCGGA